rnacentral:lncRNA from 1 species
GUUAUAUCUAGGCAAAGGUAGAAACCAAACCUGCCCAUAUGAUGUUGUCCAAGAAAAGGUUCGACCUGUGUCAUAGCAUUCCAGUGACCAGGGGUGGCUCAAUAUUUUUAAAAGUCUAAAAUGAUUAAAUAUUUAAAUGAGCUUCUUAUUGAGAAAAAAAAUUAAAUGAGGCACUUUUUAUUUAAAUUAAAAAUAAUUAUCAUUAGUUGAAGAUCAUUAAUUAUAAAUUACGUUCAUUGAAAAUAGAAAAAAUAAUUAAGAAUUAUUAACAUUAUGAGAAUUGAAAAAUGAUAAAAAAAAAUUUAUUAGAUACAUAAUUGAAAAAAUGAGAGAAUAUGUAAUUUUAUUAAUUAUUUUGACUUUUACAUAAGUAAAGAAGUGAGAUAAAUAAUUAAAAAUUAAUAAAAAAUAGGAAGUGAAGGAAAAUAAAUAUUCAAGAGACACUUACUUUAAAAAAUAUUUUAUUAAUUAUUUUAAUUUUUAUAUAUAUUUAAUAUAAUUAAUUAUAUUAUAUAAAACUAUGAGACCUAUAAAAUUAUGAAGCCUAAAGCAAGCGCUUUGCUGGCUUUAUGCUAAAGCCGGCCCUGCCAGUGACAUUUUCUCCAGUGGACACCAAGGGUGGUGUUAUCCACGAAUCAGCUGACCUUAACAUCAGGUUCAUCCCUCCCGGACCAACAGCUUGUUCCCAAUCAACAGUGUGGGAGGUGGACAGCUAUGACGGAUCAAGGGGAGAAUGGUUCGUGACAACUGGUGGGUGGAAGGUGACCCACAGGCUUUGUCUAGCCUGUUUAAAAUUAAGGGCUCUGGCGGUUUGUCAUAUAAACUUGCUUUCUGUCCUUCGGUGUGAGUCAUGCAAAAAAUAUUUUUGCAGCGAGAUCGGACGAUAUUCAUCUGGUUUUGACCCUCUCAUACGUCUAGUUCUACGCGACAACGAAUUGCCCUUUGUGUUUAUUAAAGCUGGUCAUGAGGUUCUAAAACAAGUUGUCCACAUCUGAAUAUGAAAUGUCUCCAUGUUUAGCAAUUACUACACAUAAAAGCAAAGUCUCUGCUUCCCUAAAUGUUGAUUAUGAAAUGCAAUAUUAUUGUUGCGUUGGACUGUGUAUAUAUAUAAUUGAAAGAAAAAUGAUUUGUUUUUUAAAUAGAUAAUAUAUAUUACGUAAUUUGGUACGACGAAUAAAAUUGAAAAAUGAUAGCUAUUAAAAUUUAUUGUAGUAUUUGAUUAGUAAAAAUAAUUUUAGAAUAAAAAAAAUACUUGAUAAAAGGAUAAAAUAUCUUUUAUUUUAUUUCAUUUUUAAAUAUUAAAAUUUAUAAUUUAAUUAAAAUAUUAAUAAUUGAUAAUUUAAAUAUUAAUAUUUUAUUUAUAAUUUAAUCAUUAAUAUUUUAAAAUAUUAAUAUUUUAUUUACAAAUAUUAAUGUGGAUAGAGUUGUAAAUUUCUAAACUUAUAAGUGGUAACUUAAUCUUAACAAUUUUUGAAGUUAUUCCACUAGACAUGGAACAGCUAAUAUAUAUCAAGGGAGGGGUGGGCGUAGUUAAAAAAAAACUUUGUAUUAAUUUUGAAGUAUAGGUAAAACGGGGGAAUUGCUAUUCCUUACCAAAUUAUCAACUAACGAAAGCAAAUAGUAGUUGGGAAUAACUAUUUCCUGUACCAACGUACCUGUAGUAAAAAAAGACUUGUAUAAAGUUGUAACUGGUGUCAAACAAUCAGGCAGCCAAUUACCAAAACUCCCUAGCACAUACAAAAACCCCGGGAGCAUAAACAUCAGAAUCAUCCCACCACAACCCAGUUCAAACUGUUCCCUGUACAUUAAACACAUCAAUUUGCAGAAACAAAAACCGAUCAGCAAAACAGACCCUCGCAUUCCUUUGUAUAACGACCUCACUACACAUGCACCCAUCAGCCAAAAAUCUUUCCCAGGCUGCCACACCGACAGGAACACAGAAUUCAUAAUCAUCAGAACUUACAAUACCUGCAACCAUGUCAUACCAUGCUCAAUUGCAUCGGCUGCCUCCUUUGGUCACCAUUUUUUGCCAACUGAUCUGCUAUUUCGUUGGCUUCCCGAGGCACAUGAUGGAUACCCCAGCUGCUCACCAAUCGUUUGCAAGCCUCUAUGUGCAUCUCAUUUCUUCUUAAUCUCCAUGGCGUAGUACCUUUGUUGCUAUCUAUUACUAUAACUAUGCCCCUUAAUUAUGUCUUUUUACAGGAAAAUAACCAUUUUAUUAAUGAAUAAUGCCAUAUAUAUGACAUCUAAGUAUCGAUAUAGGAAACUGGAAAUUCAUAUAGUAAAAAAAUCUAAAACUGAACACUCAGAAAUUAGAAUUAACUUUGGAGUUGAAAGAAUUUUUUUUUUUGAAAGAGUUGAAGGAGUUGAUUGUUGAUACAUACAAAUAUCCAAAUUGAUGUGCAACAAUCCAACAACUCAAGGUUCAAUCUUAUCAUUAUAUAUAUAUAAGAACAAAUCAAGAAACUUCGCAUGGCAGCUGAAAUGUAAAACUGACCUUCCUUUUUAACAAAGAAACUUUGAGUACUUGCCUCACUUCCCUUUUUUAAGUUUAUAAGGAUUUUUUUUUAUUUACACCCAGCCCAAUCCUGCUACGCAAAUUCUGUCUUGCCUGGAUCUUGAUUUUUGUUUGAUAGGUCUUUAAGUUGAGUAAAUGAAAACAUAUUUGAUUGAAUGUAAUAAAAAAAUAAAAAUUUUUAAAAUUUUUAAAAAAUUAUGCAAUUUAUUUAUUGUUAAACUUAACUUAGAAAUUGUUUUUUAUUUUUUAAGAAGAUUGAUGUUUAAUAUUCAAAUCUCUAGCUUAUUCUUGUCUCUCACAUAUAUGUAAAUAAUUAUUAUUGUCAGAUUGAUAUAAAUAUUUUUGGCUUCUAUAAAUAAGGCCAAAGUGCAUGGGUCCAAUUUCCAUAUUUAGAUAAGUAUUAUGUAUACUUAACAUGAUUGACUUCAACAUUGCAUUAUUGCAUUAUUGUGUUUUCCAAUCUACAACGUGAUUCACGUAGGUAUAUAUUCAAUAAUUUGUUUAGAAAAAUAAAAUUUUAUGCUGUGUUUGAUUGAUUUUUUUUUUUUACUUUUGUUAUUUGUUAUUUAUUUUUGUUUUUCUAUCUUGUAUUAUAUUUAUAUAUUCAAUUUUUACAUAAAAAUUAAAAUUAAAAUAUCAACCAAACAUAAACUUAAUUAUUACGAUUUUUAACAUUUUCUUCUUCUUCCUUUUGUUUAUGAACUAUAUAUAAAAAUAUUUUGGACGAAUGAUAUAUUUCUAUGUUAUGAUUUAUUUUGCAAAUAUAGAUGACCAGAUCGAUGUAUCACAAAUACAUAUAACAUAUAUAUUUAUAUAAUAUAACCAAAAUAUUGUAUGAGAAUGGAUGGAGAAAUUUAUGCCUAUUCCAACAAUUAAUCAACCUUUAUAUAGAAAUAUAUAUUGUUUAACACUUCUUAAAUGAGAAAUUGGCCGACACUCCAUUAUAUAAAUAUUUUUGCCUUAAACACUAAGAUAGGAGUUACAAAGAGUUGUUAUUCAAAUGUGUGAAGCACUUUUGGCCACGUUUCAAUCACCAUGCAUGGCAUUAUUUUAGUAGAGAAAAAGCCAUGCAUAAUUGAGCAGGGGAUGACGUCCCAACCUUUAUAAAUUGAGCUGAACCGGAAGCAACCCACAUUCAAAUCUACCAAAGCUAGCCGCAUCUCAACAGUGUUAAUGAUGAAGACCACGUUGGCUAUGCUUUUGCUCCUUUUUGUUUUCUCAUCAAAAUCCUCUGCAACUGAUGAAAAUGUUCCAGUGUAUGACGUCAAUGGCGAUGAGCUCCGCCCUGGCGUUCAAUAUUACGUUGUGUCAGCAAUAUGGGGUGCUGGUGGUGGCGGGUUAUAUCUAGGCCAAGGUAGAAACAAAACGUGCCCAUAUGAUGUUGCCCAAGAAAGGUCCGACCUGGUUCGUGGCAUUCCAGUGACAUUUUCUACGGUGGACACCGAGGGUGAUGUUAUCCACGAAUCAACUGACCUUAACAUCAAGUUCAUCCCUCCCCAACCUACAGCUUGUUCCCUAUCAACAGUGUGGAAGGUGGACUGCUAUGACGAAUCAGGGGGAGAAUGGUUCGUGACAACUGGCGGGUUGGAAGGUGACGCACAGGCUUUGUCCAGCCUGUUUAGGAUUACUGCGGCUCCUGGCGGUAUCUCCUAUAAACUUGCUCUCUGUCCUUCAGUGUGUGAGUCAUGCACAAAAUAUUUAUGCAGUGAGAUCGGAAGACAUUCAUCUGGUUUUGACUCCCUGAUACGCCUAGUUCUAAGCGACAACGGAUGGCCUUUUGUAUUUAUCAAAGCCAGUGAUGAUGAGGUUCUAAAACAAGUUGUGAAUGUCUGAAUGAAAUGUGUCCAAGUUUAGCAAUUACUACAAAUAAAAGUAGAGGCUCUGCUUCCCUCUACAUAUGUUGAUUAUGUAAUGCAAUAUGAUUAUUGCCUUGGUCUAAAUAAAUAUCUAGCUACUAAGGAAAAGCGCUUGCCACUUUUCCUUUGCUUCUAUCUAUGAGUCUAUGACUAUGUCUAUGCCCCUUGGUUCUGUCUUUCUACAGGAAACAUACCCAUAUUAUUAAUGAAUAACACCAUGUGACAUCUAAUUAUCAAUAAGGAAGCUGCAAUUUUUUUUUUUGGCUCAGUCAAAGUAUUAUUUUAUCGAAUAUCCGGAAAUGGGGGGAACCGGCAUGAACGGGGCAGAUCCAAGAUGGAUCUGUCUGUAGCAGAAUGUCCCCUACAAAAUUUAGCACACCUAAAUGACUGUGAGUACAUACAUCGCCUCCUAAAAACAAGUGUUAUAAGGAGUUACUGCUGGAUUCUGCAUUCUCUAAAGACGAGUAUCAACAGAUUAACAAGACCACAAAUUGUAUGAAAACAAAACAUAAAGAUCAAUAACCAUGACUAGAGACAAAAGUUGCCUCAGACCAAAUCAUAUCCGCCAUACUGCUCAAGCCGAUAGACAGAAGCAGAAGACCAUCACAAUCAUUAUAGCAUGCAGGCAUAAAAAAUCACCAUCAUGGCGAGAACAUUGUCUUCUUAACGACACCAUAUUUUGCAAAGAAAUCAAUAAACAUUCCCUUCUCAGAGGGCAUGCUGAAAAGUAGCACCUCCUAGUUGAUUGAUUGGAGAGUCAAUUUCAUUAAAAAGAAUCCUCUCAAAAUAGACUCCUUGUUGCGAGUGGCAGUCCAAGCUCUCUUAUAGCGUCCUCCUUUAGUUUUUUUUUUUUUAAUUUAAAAACUAUAUACUUAAAAUAAUUUCUUUUUAAUUAAAUAUAAAAUAUAAAAAAAUAUACUUGAUGUGACAUCAAAUUUUGAGAUACGACAUCAAAUUUUGAGAAAGAUAUUUGAUGUGGCAUGUUAGUAAAAAAAAAUUUAAAACUAAACACUAGUUAGAAUUAACUUUGGAGUUGAAAGAGUUGAUAAUUGAUACAAAUCCAAAGGAAGUGCAACAAUCCACCAACUAAACGUUCAAUCUAAUCAUUAUAGAAUAAAAAAAAUAAUUCAAUCAUUCAUAUAUAUUCAUAUAUUGUACUUUUUGUCCUGGUAGAAUUAAAAUUGUACUUUAAAUAUCAAUGCAAUGGGACCCUCCACAGUCCAGUGCUCUCAGAUGGCCAUAGGCCCAUAGCACAUCAGAGCAGGCUGCUGUUAUUGUCCAGCAAGCUUGACAAGGGAUUUGUGCAUGUGCUCAUGGCAGCUGGCAUGUGACACUGACCCGCCUUUAUUACAAAGAAACUUCGCAUUUGGUCAUUUUAUUCAUCAUAUUCGAAUGUUAUUUUUAUGUUUUGUCAUCUUUAAUCUUUCUUGGUUUUAACCUCUUUAUUUUCCAAAUUCACUAUUUUGAACAUUUAAUGGACAUAAUAAUUAAAUGAAUUUCUUUCCAAACUUGAAAGGAUUAAGUACCUGCCUCACUUCCUUUUUUUACACGUUUAUAAGGAUAAUUUUUUUAUUUACACCCACCCCAACCCUAUUACGUGUUAGUUUUAAGACAAUCCAAAACAUGUCCUAUUUGGAUCUUGAUUUGUGUUUAAUUCGAAUAAAAUGUUAAUAUAUUUGAUUAAAUAUAAUAAAAAAAUAAAAAAUUUAUUUAAAUUUUUUAAAAAUGAUUUGAAAACUUUUAAGAUAUUAUGCAAUUUAUUUAUCCUUAAACUUAACUUAGCAAUUGUCUUUUUUAAGAAGAUUGAUGUUUAACAUUCGAAUCUCCAGCUUAUCCUCGUGUCUCUGGCAUAUAUAAAAUAUUAUUAUUGUCAGAUUGAUAUAAAAAUUUUUGGCUUCUAUAUCUUUACAAGGCAGUGCAUGGGUCCAAUUUCCAUAAUAGAUAAGUUUUAUCUAUACUGACAUUAUCCAUAUAAGAUAAGAAAAUUGAAAUGGUGGAGCAUCUACUAAAAUGAGAAUUCUAGCAAAGUUUUUUUUUUUUUUCCCGACAGGCAUUUAGUAUGAUUGACUUCAACAUUGUGUUAUUGAGCUUUCAAAUCUACACCGUGAUUCACGUACGUAUAUAUUCAAUAAUUUUUUUAGAAAAAUAAAAUUUUAUACUGUAUUUGACUGAUCCUUUUUUACUUUUGUUUUUUGUUAUUUAUUUUUGUUUUUCUAUCUUUUAUUAUAUUUAUAUAUUCAAUUUUUACAUAAAAAUAAAAAUUAAAAUAUCAACCAAACAUAGCCUUAAUUAUUACGAUUUUUAACAUUUUUUUUCUUCUUCCUUUUGAUUAUGAACUAUGUAAAAAUAUUUUGGACGAAUGAUAUAUUUCUAUGCUAUGAUUUAUUUUGAAAAUAUAAAUGACCAAAUCGAUGUAUCAAAAAUACAUAUAACAUAUAUAUAUAUAUAUAUUUAUAUGAUAUGACCAAAAUAGUGCAUGGGAAUGGAUGAAGAAUUCCAAAUUUAUGCCUAUUCCAACAAUUAAUCAACCUUUAUAAAGAAAUAUAUAUUGUUUAAUACUUCUUAAAUGAGAAAUUGCCCGACACUCCCUUAUAUAAAUAUUUUGGCCUUUUAAACAAAAGAUAAUUAUAAAAAAGAGUUGUUAUGGAAAUGUGUGAAGCAGCUUUUGGCCACGUUUUAAUGACCAUGCAUGGCACUAUUUUAGUAGAGAAAAAGCCAUUCAUAAUUGAGUAGGGAUCACUUCCGAACCUUUUAUAAAUUGAUGAGCUGAACUAGAGGCAACCGACAUCCAAAUCUAUCAGAGCUAGCUGCUUCUCAAUAGUGUUAAUGAUGAACACCACGUUAGCUUUUGCUCCUCUCUGUUUUCUCGUCAAAAUCCUCUGCUGCUGAUGAAAAUGAUCCAUUCUAUGAUGUCCAUGGUGAAGAGCUCUGCCCAGCGUUCAAUAUUGUUGAAUAGUUUGUAAUAUUUGUUAAAAAAUAAGUAUUUAAGUGUGACUAUUUAAAAAUAACUAUAACUCUUAAAAAAUAAUAAAAUAAAAAUAAAUAAAUAAUAAAUAUUUACAAUAAACAUAAUCUAUUGAAAUACAACAGAUAUAUCUGUUAAAACAAUACAGACACAUCUGUUGAAAAUAAAAAGGACGCAUCUGUUGAAAGACAAUAGACACAACCUCUCACUGUCUAUAAAAGAACAUACUUCCAAUCAGAAUUCAUUAAAAGCAUUUUGCAAAAAGGCUUGUUAUAUCUUGGAGAGUCUUUGUCUGCGAAUCCCCAUAGUAGACAACAACUCUUUAAAAAAAGUGUGUUACAACACGCCUCAAGCCUUACUUUCUUCUCUUUUCUUCUUCUACUAAUUUCCUAACAAUUUUAAAGAGUUGUUUUUAAUGGAGUCUAAUUCAAUUUCAAGAUUUCAACUUAUGAAUUAAGAAUUCAUCAAAUUUGAUCGGUUUAAUGGAACGAAUUUCACCCACUGGAGAGAUAAGAUGGUGUUUUUGCUCACAGCCUUGAAGGUUUAUUAUGUUCUAGAUCCAACUCUUACUGCACUUCUAGAACUGAUUGUUGAAGACUCUGAUGCACAAAAGGCAGAGAGAAAAAAACGUGAAGAAGAUGAAUUGAUAUGUCGUGGACACAUUCUAAACACUUUGACAGAUUGUCUCUCUACUCCAAUCUGAAAACUCCAAAGGAAAUUUGGGAAGCCUUGGAAACUAACUAUAAAAACGAAAAAAGAGGUACUAACAAAUUUUUAUCUUUAAAAUAUUUUGAGUUUAAGAUAAGUGACAAUCUGUCUAUCAUGGAUCAAAUACAUGAUUUACAAGUUUUAGUUUCAAAACUAAAAUACCUUGAGGUUAAGGUUCCUGAUACGCUACAAAUAGGUGCAAUUCUUUCUAAACUGCCUCAAUCUUGGAAUAAUUAUAGAAAAAAAGGUUCUACAUUCUAUGGAGUCUUUAUCAAUAGAACAAUUCACGACUCAAAUGCAAAUAGAAUGUGAAACACGUGUUCGUGAUACACUAUUUCAGCCUUCUGAUUCGAAAGUGAAUCUUGUGAGUCAGAAUUCUAAAAAUUUUGGAAAGAAUUCUAUGAAAUUCAAGUCAUCUGCACUGAAAGUUUCAAGACAGGACUUUAAGAAAAAAAAGAUAAGAAAAAUAUAAAAUAUUUCCAUUGUGGAAAGAAAGGCCAUAUGAUUAGUGAAUGCAGAUCAAGGAAGGCAGGAAAGAAUUUUGGUUCUAUAAAUCCUGAAAAAGCAAACAUAAUAGAAGAGGCUGUCAAUGAAUUAGUUGUCAUGGUUUCUACAAUGAAUAUUAGAAUGGUAACAGAAUUGAACAUGGUUGUUGAUUCCAAUAAAAGUAAAGAUUGAUGGCUAGAUUCUGGUGCUACAAUUCAUGUAUGCAAUGACAAAAACUUGUUCAAGACAUACAUGAAAAUUAAUAAAUCAGAAAAUGUUUUGAUGGGAAAUCAUGUUACAACCAAAGUUGAAGGAAAAGGGACUGUUGAGUUGAACUUCAUUUCUGGACAAAAGCUGACGUUACUCAAUGUAUUCCAUGUUCCUGAAAUUCGAAAGAAUUUAAUUUCUGCUAGUUUGCUUGCAAAUAAAGGUUUUAAAAUUGUAAUCGAAUAUGAUAAUGUAAUAGUAUCCAAGGGUGGUUUUGUAGGAAAAAGAUACUUUUGUAAUGACAUGUACAAGUUCAGUAUUGAUGAAAUAAAUAUAAUUUUUGCUUAUACUGUUGAGUCUAAUUUUUUAUUAUGGCAUGUUAGAUUAGGACACUUAAAUUUUGGUUCCAUGAAAUUUUUGUCUAAAUAUGGUUAUAUUGUAUGCAAACAUGAGUACUUAGAAAAAUGUGAAAUAUGUAUACAAGCAAAAAUGACAAGGAAACCUUUUUGUAGUGUAAAAAGAAACUCACAAUUAUUAGAUAUUGUGCAUUCUAAUAUAUGUGAAUUAAAUGGAAAGUUAACUAGAGGAGAAAAAAAUAUAUUUUAUAACUUUCAUCGAUGAUUAUUCUAGAUUCAGUUAUGUCUAUUUAAUUAAAACAAAAGAUGAAGCUUUUCAAAAAUUUAAAGAAUAUAAAUUUGUUGUGGAAAACCAAAUAGGUAGAAAAAUCAAAAUUCUAAGAAGUGAUAAAAUAGGAGAAUAUUUUCCUAUAGAAUUUGAUAAUUUUUGUGAAGAAAAUGGUUUGAUACAUCAAAAAAGUGCUCCUUAUUCACCACAACAAAAUGGAUUAGCUGAAAGGAAAAAUAAAACUUUGGUUGAUAUGACAAAUGUUAUGUUAUUAAAUUCACAUUUAUUACACAAUUUAUAGGGUGAAGCCUUAUUAACAGCAUGUCAUAUACUGAAUAAAAUUCCUUUCAAAAGUAUUAAGGUUUCACCUUAUGAACUUUGGAAUGGAAGAAAACAAAACUUGGAAUAUCUUAAAGUGUGGGGGUGCUUGGCUUUUUAUAAAGUUCCUGAACCACAAAAAACAAAGCUUGGACCUAGAGCUGUAAACACUAGUUUUUUAGGUGAAAUAAACAUUAUAAAAGAAAAAAUGAGAAAAAAAAAGUAAAAAGCAAAAAAUGAAAAUGUACGACUGGCAGGGUGCGGACGCACCCUACCAAGCACGAUAUGCAGUGCCAGAAGCGAAAAACUUGCGUCUGGCAGAAGGUGGAAAAUGGCACCUCGUGAACAUAAUCGGGGUAUAAAGCAAGAAAAUCGACAAUAAAAAAAAAGGAACAGAAAAAUCCCUCACAGUAAAAAACCUAGCCUUUAGCAGCCAAAUACCACAGAAAAAUCAUUUCUUUAUUCUUCUAACAGCCAAGAACUAGCAACCAAAAGAAAAUAAAAAAAAAUCCUAGCCACCUACAAACCAAAAAACCCAAAAAUUCCUAGUUAGAACCAACAAUCGAAAACAACCACAAAAAGAUAUAUAAAAAAAAAUUAAAAAAAAAUGUGUCACUGGUGGGAGUUUAGGGAGUUUGGGGUUUGUGUUGCCGUUUAAAAAAGGGGUUGGGAGGUUGUUAUGCCACCAUUUUAAAAGCGGGUUGAGAGGUGGUUGUGUCGUCGUAGGAAAGGGAGUAAGAGAGAGACCCAAUUGAUCCCCAAAAAGGAGCGUCGAUUGAAGGCUAUCUUGGGGAAAAUUUAGAGCAGAUCGACGAGUUUUUAAGGGGUAGCUGCCUGCGAAAGGAAGAGAGUUGCUGGAGAGGUAGCUAUCGACGGAAGGAAAAGAGUUGUUGGAGGGGGGCAACGUUUGCGACGUCGAGCGUCAAAGAGAACUCUUUUUUUGGGUAGCUAUCGGUUGAAGGAAGAUAGCUGCUGAAAGGCGACAACGCCGGCGACGUCGAGCGGUAAAGAGGUAGAGAGUGGGUUGAGCAGCUGGCGGCUAGAGAGAGAGACAAAAGGGAGAAAAUGGAAAAAUGAGAGAAAAAUAGGAUUUUAUAGUUAAGGUUUAAAGGGCUUAAAACUACGUCGUUUUGCAACUAAUCAAUAGACCUUUCCAAAGCUCAAAACGGUGCCAUUUUGGAGCACAAAGGGUGGCUGAAGCAAGGAACUAAACAAUGCACUUUGACUAGAGGAGAGGUGGGCUUCUGGACUAGACGGUGGGGUUUGAUAGGCAGACCAGUUGGGCCAAGCUGAUCGUGUUGGGCUACUGUUAACCCAUUGAAGGUAUACACUUAUUUUUUGUUUUGAUUUUGUGGUUGUGCUUGGCAAUAAAAAUUAAAAAAAAUAAAAAAUAAUUUUUUUAAAAAAAUAGAUGAGGAUAAAAUAGGAUGUUUAAUGAUACAAAAAAAAAANNNNNNNNNNNNNNNNNNNNNNNNNNNNNNNNNNNNNNNNNNNNNNNNNNNNNNNNNNNNNNNNNNNNNNNNNNNNNNNNNNNNNNNNNNNNNNNNNNNNNNNNNNNNNNNNNNNNNNNNNNNNNNNNNNNNNNNNNNNNNNNNNNNNNNNNNNNNNNNNNNNNNNNNNNNNNNNNNNNNNNNNNNNNNNNNNNNNNNNNNNNNNNNNNNNNNNNNNNNNNNNNNNNNNNNNNNNNNNNNNNNNNNNNNNNNNNNNNNNNNNNNNNNNNNNNNNNNNNNNNNNNNNNNNNNNNNNNNNNNNNNNNNNNNNNNNNNNNNNNNNNNNNNNNNNNNNNNNNNNNNNNNNNNNNNNNNNNNNNNNNNNNNNNNNNNNNNNNNNNNNNNNNNNNNNNNNNNNNNNNNNNNNNNNNNNNNNNNNNNNNNNNNNNNNNNNNNNNNNNNNNNNNNNNNNNNNNNNNNNNNNNNNNNNNNNNNNNNNNNNNNNNNNNNNNNNNNNNNNNNNNNNNNNNNNNNNNNNNNNNNNNNNNNNNNNNNNNNNNNNNNNNNNNNNNNNNNNNNNNNNNNNNNNNNNNNNNNNNNNNNNNNNNNNNNNNNNNNNNNNNNNNNNNNNNNNNNNNNNNNNNNNNNNNNNNNNNNNNNNNNNNNNAUGAGAAUAAGUAAAAAAUAGAAAAUAAUUUUUUUAAAAAAAAUAGAUGAGGAUAAAAUAGGAUGUUUAAUGAUACAAAAAAAAAAAUGAAUGAUGAAUGAGUGAAUGAAUAAUGAUAAAAAAUGAGAAUAAGUAAAAAAAUAUAAGAGUAUAUAUAUACUUGAUUAUAUAAUAAAUAAUAAUAAAAUCUGGUGAAAUAGUUAUUCAACUAUAAAAAGAGAUCCAAGCAUAAAAUAUGUAGAGAAAUAAAUAAACAUUUAAUUAUUAAAAAGAUUAAUAGAUUUAUUUAAGUAAUAAAUAUAGGAAAGUAAACAUUUAAUGGUAUAAGUAGAUUUAUUAAGAUUAGCAAUAUAUGCACAUAUUUGGAUAUAGAACAUUAUUUAGAAAAAAUAUAAGUGGAGGGAAAGGAUGAAAUGUGGAACAUAUUUAUGAGAUACAUAGUUAUGUAAAUUCAUGUAAAGACAAUAGAAAUGAAAAUAAAUUAGGGAGGAUUAAAAUUAAAAUAUAAUGAAACAAAAUAUGAAAAUAUCAAAUUGGGCGAAAAAGGUCGUUCUAUAUGAAAUGGAGAUGGGUACAAAUAGGGAGAGAAUAAAAAUAGGAUAAGAUAAAAAAUUAUUAAUAAAAUAAUUGUUCGAUUUAAUACCGAUGAUGGGAUGAUCGAUAAGGACGCGAGAAGUCGUAAUCCCGGACUAAUUUUUCCUAGGUUCAGAAUCUGAAUUAAGGCUCCACCAGUAUGAUGGGAGGGCCUUGAUUUUGAGGUUUCGAGAUUUUUAAUUUUAAAUAAAUAAAAAAUAUAAUGAAAAGAUAAAAAAUAUAAUAAUAAAAAAAUAAUAAAGUAAAAAUAAACUUCAAAAGCAUAUCAUAUAUUUCUAUUGCAUCAUGCAUAUAAUUGCAUAUAGAUAUUUUUGUUUGCGAGCAUAAGCCCCGAUGAUGGAAUUUUUCGAAGAUCUUACGAAGGUGAGUUUCUCUCGAAAAGUUCUCUAGGUGAAAGGGUGCCCCCGAGUCCCACCAGUAUGAUGGGAAGGCUCGAAAAACAUCUUUAAUAAAAGGCUUUAGCUAGUAUUAGGUUCAUUAUUCACGAAAACAUUAUUUUUUUUAAAAAAAAUGUACGAUAACCUCGAUGAUGGGAUUUAUUUGUCGAAUUUACGAAGGUGAAUUUCUCGGAUAAUUUCUUAGGUGAGAGAACAUCUCGGAUCCCACCAGUAUGAUGGGCGGAUCUGCUAGAACGUCCUCGAUAAAAGAUUAUUUGUCCGACAUUUUUCAUCUCAUACCAUGCAUUUUAUCUUGCCUCACAUUUGCAUUCCAUUUUAGGUUGAAUAGGAGAUAAAAUAAGUGAAUAAUAGCUAAGGAAAUAAAAUGAACUUAAAAAAUAAAGCCUAAUAGGAUAAUCUAAAAAUGGUACCGUUCAUGAAACGGGCGUUCUGGGAGUGCUAAUCCUUCCCCGGGCAUAAUUGUAGUCCCGAACCUAAAUCUCGAAAAACGUAGACCAGUUUAAGAUUCUUUCGACGAGCUUAAAUCUAAUUAAGACUCCGUCGAUUAGAAUCGAGGCAAUAGGUUGCCAAUCACACUUAGUAAAAAAGAUUGGUGGCGACUUCUAGUUUUGGAGUUUUCAUCACGUCUAGCGGUCGGAUUCCAAGAUUCGCACGUUACGACAAGAGCAAUAAAAGGCAUUUUUGUUGGCUAUGCCCAACAUUAUAAAGCAUAUAGAAUUUUAGAUUUACAAUCAAAUAUUAUUGUAGAGUCUAUACAUGUUGAAUUUAUUGAAAAUAAAUUUAUGUAUAACUCUAAUAAUAAAGAUUGUGAACAAAAUAUCUUAAUUUCAAGUUUUGACCAAAGUGAUAUGACUUCUUAUAAUACAUCCAGUAAAGAAAAAUGGAUGAUACUCAAAUUGAGUUGAGAAGAAGUCAAAGAGCCAUAAAAAGAAAGCACUUAGAUCUAGAUUUUGUUGACUCAUAAGCAUUAGCAUUCCUUGUAGAAGGAAGUAAAACCAAAGUGUGUAAAAAGAUACCUAUUUUGUUAAACAUUGAAGAUGAUCCAAAAACAUUUAAAGAAGCUAUGUCUUCAAGGGAUGUAGCUUUUUGGAAAGAAGCAAUAAAUGAUGAAAUGGAUUCAAUCUUAUCAAACAAAACAUGGAUUUUGGUUGAUCUUCCUCCUGGAUCAAAACCCAUAGGUUGUAAAUGGGUAUUUAGAAGGAAAUAUAACACAGAUGGUUCAGUGCAAACCUUUAAAGCUAGACUAGUUGCCAAAGGUUUCACGCAAAAAGAAGGCAUAGAUUAUUUUGAUACUUACGCCCCGGUAGCAAGAAUAACAUCCAUAAGAACACUUUUGGCUUUAGCUUCUAUUCAUAAAUUACAUGUACAUCAAAUAAAUGUUAAAAUUACCUUUUUAAAUGGAGAUCUUAAUGAAGAAAUAUAUAUGUAGCAACCUGAAGGUUUUAUACUUCCUAAAAAUGAAAGGAAGGUUUGUAAACUAAUCAAAUCUCUUUAUGGAUUAAAACAAGUUUUAAAGAAAUGACGUGAAAAGUUUGAUAGUACUAUACUUUCAAAUGAAUUUGUACAUAAUAAUGCAAAUAAAUGCAUUUACUCUAAAUUUACAAAAGGCUAUGGCGUAAUCAUAUGUCUUUAUGCAGAUGAUUUAUUGAUCUUUAAUACAAAUAUGCUUGGAAUUGUUGAAAUCAAGAAAUAUUUAACUUCAGUUUUCAAAAUGAAAGAUUUCAAUGAAGUUGACAAAAUUUUGAGAAUUAAGGUCAAAAGAGAUCAAAAUGUGAUUUCAUUAAAUUAAUCACAUUACAUAGAGAAAAUUCUUCACAAAUAUAGUCAUUUGGAAAUCAAAAGUUUCAUACUCCUUAUGAUUCGAGUAUAAAAUUGACUAAGAAUUGUGAAAGAGUUAUGACACAAUUAGAAUAUGCUAGUGUCAUAGGCAGCAUUAUGUAUGUUACGCAUUGUACCAGACCAGAUAUAGCUUUUGCUGUUUGCAAACUUUCAAGGUUUACAAGUAAACCUAGUAAGGAUCAUUGGAAAGCUAUUAUUAGAGUACUUGGAUAUUUAAAAAAAAUAAAAAAUUUGAAAAUUUGUUACAAUGGUUUUCUUAGUGCUUUAGAAGGAUUUUUAGAUGCUAGUUGGAUAACUAGUAUUGAUAACAAUAAAUCCACAUUAUGAUGGAUUUUUACUUUAGGAGGUUGUGCCAUUAGUUGGGCACCUAAGAAGUAGACUUGUAUUACGCAUUCCACAAUGAAAUCGAAAUUUUUAGCAUUAGCAGCUGUUGGAAAAGAAACGGAAUGGCUGAGAAAUUUGUUAUUAGAUAUAAAGUUGUGGCCAUAACCAAUGCCAGCCAUUUCCAUAUAUUGUGACAGUGAGGCUACAAUGUGUGCAGCCCAUAAUAAGAUCUAUAAUGAAAAGUCUAGACACAUAAGUUUGCGACAUGCCUAUAUAAGAGAAUUAAUCUUAAAUGGCAUUAUAACAAUAGUUUAUAUUAAAUCUUGCAAGAAUUUGGCUGAUCCACUUACCAAAGCUUUGCCAAGAGAGGCUAUAAAGUCAACUUUUAGUGGAAUGGGGCUAAAACCCUUGACUUAAAAGCAUUAGUAAUGGAAACCCAACUUUGAGUUAGCAAAACUAACAAUAAAAGUUCAAUGGGUAAUAACAAGUUACUAUAUGCUAUCAUUAUGCACUGAAUUUUAUAUUAAAUAGCCUCAUUCUAGAACAUUUAGUGCGACUGUUAUGAGAAAAGGAUGAGCAAAAGGCUCUUAAUGGAAACAUCAAAUGCCUGUAGUAACAGGGGCAUAAAUACAAAUUUCACCUAUAUGAUUAUUGGAGUGGUGCCGCUCCAACCAAGAAUUAAAAGGGUUUAUUUUUGUAAAUAUUCAUGAAAUUGUGAUUAGCACAAGGCCAUAUAAGUGCUAAAGCAGUUGGCAGAAUCUUCAAAAAUAAUACUAUGUGUGUGAUAUUUUCGGUUAUGACAUAAGGAGUUGAGGUUCAAUCCUUGUUAUACCAAUAACUUCGUCUUAACUUUAAAAUUUCUACACUAAUAGAAAGUUCAAAUCUUUGAGAUACUUUCUAUUAUGCAUAGUAUUAUUAAUAUUACAAACUAGUGAAGGAUUGUUGAAUAGUUUGUAAUAUUUGUUGAAAGAUAAGUAUUCAGAUGUGAUUGUUUAAGAAUAAAUAUAACUCUUAAAAAAUAAUAAAAUAAAAAUAAAUAAAUAAUAAGUAUUUACAAUAAACACAACUAUUGAAAGUUAUAAAUACAUCUGUUGAAAUACAAUAGACACAUCUGUUGAAAAUAAAAAGGACGCAUCUGUUGAAAGACAACAGACACAACCUCUCACUGUCUAUUAAAAAACAUACUUCCAUAUCAGAAUUCAUUAAAAGCAUUUUGCAAAAAGACUUGUUGUAUCCUGAAGAGUCUUUGUCUAUGAAUCUCCAUAAUAAAUAACAACUCUUUAAAGAAAGUGUAUUACAGCACGCCUCAAGUCUUACUUUCUUCUCUUUUCUUCUAUUAAUUUUCUAACAACCGGUUAUAUCCAGGCAAAGGUGAAAACCAAACCUGCCCAUAUGAUGUUGUCCAAGAAAGGUUCGACCUGCGUCAAGGCAUUCCAGUGAUAUUUUCUCCAGUGGACACCAAGGACGACGGUGUUAUCCGCGAAUCAACUGACCUUAACAUCAAGUUCAUCCCUCCCGGACCAACAGCAUGUUCCCAAUCAACAGUGUCGAUGAUGGACAGCUAUGACGAAUCAAGGGGACAUUGGUUCGUGACAACUGGUGGGGUGGAAGGUGAUCCAUAUGCUCUGUCCAGCCUGUUUAGGAUUAAGGGCGGCG